ACCCACAUAUAUUCCUUCCAAACGUGAUGAUAGCAAACUCUCACAGGCUACAGCUCUAUAUAAACCCCAUCAUCCUCAUGGCCUCUUCGCACAGCAACAUUCUAUGCAAGCUUCCCUAGAAAGGCAACAUGUUUUGGCUUCAAGGGGAGGCAACGAGGGGUUCUAUCUCCCCCAAAUUAAUCCCUUAAUUAAUUUUUCUCUGAAAUGAUCCGAUUAUUGGAGGUUGCAGGUGGAUCAGAGCUAUAUCUGCAAAUAAGAUUUCAAAUGGAGAAUUUGAAGGGUAAGGGAGGUGACAGAAGAGAGUGAGCACACAUGGUACUUUCUUGCAUGGUUUAUGCUUGGAACUAUGCGUGCUCACUCUCUAUCUGUCACACCCACCAUCUGCCCCCCUUUCUCUCUCCUCUUUUAUUCACUUUCUCUAAUAUCGUGUUCUUGCUUCUGUUUGGAUCUGCCUCCAGCCCUACUGGUGGCCUGUAUAGAUGACUGAGACAGAAAGCUUCAUUAAUGGUGGAAACAUACAAAGGCUUGUUCUUGAUUUUUCCCCUCUCAUGUUGUCCAUCACGUUGGUUUGUUCCUCUUUAAAAUUAGUGAAAGUUAAAGUGUGUAUUCAAGGGUUAAACUUUUGCGAUUAGUCAGUCUUGACAGAUA